rnacentral:lncRNA from 10 species
UCAGGAAUCUGGCCAAACUCCAGGGCCACCUAUCAUGAGCAGCCUUGUUUGCUGGCAAUUUGCAGAGUUGCAAGGGGUAAAGGACUGGCUUUGACUAUUCAGUCUUUCAGGAAAACUUGAUCCAGUCGGCUAUAUUCUUGGACUGGCAAAACUGUAAUGUUGAGUGCUUCUACCAACUGAUAAUCUAUGGGAAAUCAAGACAGAGCUGCUCUGGGAUGACUAUGCACAUUGAAGGAGGAGUGGAAUUUCAUUUACAAGACAUUUUGAUGAAGUCUCAGUAGGGAAGAAAACUAACUUCUGGAGAGAGCUUACCUGUGCUAGAUAAUUGUACUUGCAUUAUUUCACUGAAUCUUUUUGGCAAAGCUUUGAGUUCAUCACAUCUUGCCUGGAUGACUGCAGUGGCCACUAAGCUGGUCACAGAGUGAGCUUUCUUAAAUGCAAGUGUAAGGAUGGCAGAGCCUCAAGUGCUUCAGUUUCUCCAAGUGCCUGUUCCCUGAGUGGCAUACCAUUGAAGGCCAUCUGAGUCUGCAGCUAUGUUUCCACUCUCACUGGUGUGUGCACCUGGAGCUGUCACUUUUUCAAUAAUGCAUUUCUGACUCCCUCAUCAACAAAGGUCUCAGGUUUUUUCAUCUGUGAAAUGUGAGCAGAAACCCCAGCCCGGCAUACCUCCUACGGGUAGGUUGUGAUCCUGAUGUGAUCCUCAACAAGGCUGCUCAUGAUGUGUGUCUGCUGGAUGGAGGCCUCAGAAAACUCAUUUGACAUCUUGGCUGUAACUUUGUCCAAGUCUGUGUCUGAUGUCAUUAUGCAAUCAAUUCUAUACUAGAUUCUGCCGGGUAAGAUCUUAAAAGACAAAAGCUUUGUUCUCCAGAUCGUCACUGGUUUUGAGGACGUACCUUGUUCAUUCAUUCAUUCAUUCAUUCUGCAAAUUAUUUAUUAGAGCAAAUUAACUUCUGUGACUCUCAAUCUUCUCUUCUACAUAACAGGAAUAAUAAACCUUGCUUCAUAGGGUUAAGUUUUAGGCAUAUGGCUGGUACUCAAGAAAUGAUUAUUAUUAGAUUAUUAUUAUUAUUAGAUUCUUCACAGAAGUCUUAGUAGUAGUCAAAGCAUAAAAGACAUUUAAAGGCUGGACGCUGUGGCUCACAUCUGAAAUCCCAGCACUUUGGGAGGCAGAUGUGGGAGGAUCACCUGAGGUCAGGAGAUCAAGACCAUCCUGGCUAACACGGUGAAACCCCAUCUCUACUAAAAAUACAAAAAAUUAGCCAGGCAUGGUGGCGGGCGCCUGUAGUCCCAGCUCCUCGGGAGGCUGAAGCAGGAGAAUGUCGUGAACCCAGGAAGCAGAGCUUGUAGUGAGCCGAGAUCGCACCACUGCACUCCAGCCUGGGCGACAGAGCGAGACUCCGUCUCAAAAAAAAAAAAAAAAAAAAAAAAAAGAUUAAGUAGGGUCUACCCCUUGCCUCUAGUCUGGCAUAGUAGAAUUACUGUUAUUUUCUCAUUUUUUUAGUUGAAGAAACUGAAAGUGAGGUAAAGAGUCUUAUACCCAUGAACUGGACAUUAUUAUUUCUUUCCUUUCACAAAUGAGAAAACUGAGGCAUAGAGAUGAUAUUUAACUCUCCCCUAGGGACAUAUCACUAAUCAGCAGUAGAUCCCAAAUAGGACUGCAGGUAGCCUGGCUCCAGAGACUAGGAUUGUAGCCUCUAGACUCAAUGGGAUUAGAGGCUAUAGUGAGAAGAAUAUUGGAUUUGGAGUUAGAGCAAUCUGGCUUCUAAUCUCUGCUCCAGCACAGACUAUCUUGAACCUGGGAAAGCCACUUAACUGUCUGAGCUCUGGUUUCCUUAUCUGGGAACUGGAAAUAAUGAUAAUACCUACUCUGUAGGAAUCUUGUAAGAAAGAGAAGUAACAUAUGUCAUUCCUUAGGUAGUGUAAAUUCUAUCUUAGACCAUCAUAGACAUUUUUGCUUAAAGACAGGGUCUCACUCUGUCUCCCAGGCUGGAGUGCAGUGGUGCAAUCAUAGCUCACGGCAACCUUGAACUCCUGGGCUCAAGUGAUCCUCCUGUCUAGGCCUCCCACAGUGCUGGGAUUACAGGCAUGAGCUCCCAUGCCCGGCCAGGUCACCACAGACUCUUAAACAUCACAAGAACUUUUGCAAACAUGACUGUAUGGAAUUAGUGCAGUCACAUGAGGAGGAAUAUAGGAGAGAGAUUUUUUAUCCCUGUUUGCAGAUAAGGAAAGUAAGCCAGAGAGGAAGAGAAAGGGGGAAGGGAACUCUUUUAAAUGCUUUCAUUUAUUCAAUCAAUAUCAGUUAAGCAGCUAUUCAAUUUAUGUUGACUGAUAUCAUUUAUUUAAUAAAUGUCAGUUGAGCAGUAUCACAUCAUGAGGGGUACAAGGAUUGACCCUAUUUUUUUCUGGAUGAGGAACUGAGGCUCAGAUAAAGCAUAACUUGCACAUAGUCACAGAACUAAUCAUGAGCAACACUGCAAUUUAAACUAAGGUAUGUGUGGACCCAGACAUGCUCACAGUGGAGUGAAUUUCCCCCAGGUCUCAGAUGUAAGGGGCAAAGUCAAGGAAGGCUCUAACCCUAAUCUUCUGGGUCCAGAUCUAGUCCACUUUCAUCCCACCAUGUGGUGUAGCCCUACAAAUAAGUUGAAUUCCAAAUUCUAAGCAAGCAUUGACUAAUGCAAAAAUGGUUAAAAGGCCAGAACCCUAGAGGCAGGAAAUGUCACCUUCCUUGAUUAAACCUGGGAAAUGUACCCAUUAUGGAUAAGAUUUGCUGUCUACAGGAAACCGUCUUAGACAUAAACUGAUCCUAUCUUCCAGCCAAAGUGAUUUGAAGAUGGCUUAACUAAGGAGAUUUAAGUAGCUGACUACCUUGAAGGUAAUCUAUGAAAAGGGACCUCUGUCUUCGGAAAGUGCGUCUACCACAAAAGUCUGUGAGGAUGAUGGGUGUGGUUCUGUGAUAAGUGCAAUCAGAAAGUCCAUAUGAGUUCUGAAAAAGUGCAGGUGACCUUGGAGCCAGAGAGAUGGGGUUCAAAUCCUAGUUUCUCUCCCACUUUGGACUUAUUUGUGUUUAACCAUCUUCAUCUGUAAAAUGGAGAGAGCAUUGUUUUGUUUGUUUGCUUGAGAAUCUAGAGACAUUAGGAUGAUUAAACCAUACUGUACACAUCUCUGCUAAUCUUUUAAGGAAAAAUCAUGGAGAAUGGAAAAAAAAUCAGUGAGUGAAAAGAUUUCUCUGUAUCUUCGUCACAAUCCAGAGAAAAGAAGUUCAGAAUCCAAUGGUUUUGGACAACUUGGUCAUCAGAAAAAUGAAGUGUGUCCUGUCUUUGGUGUAUUUCACUAGGUUCUACCUUAUGAACAUGAUGACAAUAAUAAUAAAAAAGUACUUUGCUG